rnacentral:other from 1 species
GACUGUCUUGUGGAAAAACAAAGACUAAAGGGAACGAGGUACAAAAAGAUAGAGACUUUUAUCACUUUUUAGCAAAGUUGCGCUGGACAAAAGGUACCACAAUUGGUGUACUGAUACCCGACACAGUAUUAGUGUCGAUUUUUUCAUGUAAAGGUAAUUUUGAUGUCUAAGAUUAAAGGUAACGUUAAGUGGUUUAAUGAGUCCAAAGGAUUCGGUUUCAUUACUCCGGAAGAUGGCAGCAAAGAUGUAUUCGUACAUUUCUCUGCAAUCCAGUCCAACGGUUUCAAAACUCUGGCUGAAGGUCAGCGCGUAGAGUUCGAAAUCACUAACGGUGCCAAAGGCCCUUCUGCUGCAAACGUAAUGCCUAUCUAAGCAACGCGUCAGUAGAAUAUAAAACCCCGCUCAUGGCGGGUUUUUUUUG